rnacentral:rRNA from 1 species
AGAGUUUGAUCAUGGCUCAGAACGAACGCUGGCGGCAGGCCUAAUACAUGCAAGUCGAACGCACCUUCGGGUGAGUGGCAGACGGGUGAGUAACGCGUGGAAACCUUCCCAAUAGUACGGAAUAACUUCGGGAAACCGGUGCUAAUACCGUAUACGCCCUUCGGGGGAAAGAUUUAUCGCUAUUGGAUGGGUCCGCGUCGGAUUAGCUUGUUGGUGGGGUAAUGGCCCACCAAGGCGACGAUCCGUAGCUGGUCUGAGAGGAUGAUCAGCCACACUGGGACUGAGACACGGCCCAGACUCCUACGGGAGGCAGCAGUAGGGAAUCUUGGACAAUGGGCGAAAGCCUGAUCCAGCCAUGCCGCGUGAGUGAAGAAGGCCUUAGGGUUGUAAAGCUCUUUUGGCGGGGACGAUAAUGACGGUACCCGCAGAAUAAGCCCCGGCUAACUUCGUGCCAGCAGCCGCGGUAAUACGAAGGGGGCUAGCGUUGUUCGGAAUUACUGGGCGUAAAGCGCUCGCAGGCGGAAUGAUAAGUCGGGGGUGAAAUCCCGGGGCUCAACCUCGGAAUUGCCUUCGAUACUGUCAAUCUCGAGUCCGGGAGAGGUGAGUGGAAUUCCUAGUGUAGAGGUGAAAUUCGUAGAUAUUAGGAAGAACACCAGUGGCGAAGGCGGCUCACUGGCCCGGUACUGACGCUCAUGAGCGAAAGCGUGGGGAGAAACAGGAUUAGAUACCCUAGUAGUCC